UGCUCUCUCUUUUAUCACAAAACUCAACUUUGGUUUUGCGAGUGUAACUGGAAGCUUGAGAUUCCUAACUUUAAGGUAUUUAUGCCAAACUUACUAUUAAUUUUAUGUGGGUACUGUAGUUAUUAUCUACGCUUGAAGUCUUACAGAUUCUGUUCUCCCCCCCUGAAAUUCCCUCUUCUGUUUAAUACUGAUAGAGUGAUUUUGUUGAUCAAAUGGUUUAAAUUCAGGUUUUUUUGGGGGAAAGAUGAGUUAUGUGUACCACUUUCAUGGGUGACUCAAGGUUACUGAAAAUGGGUUGGCAAUAGAUCUCCAAAAGGUAGAGUUUCUUACCCCUUCCUUAUAUUUGUGGGUGUGUACUGUACAUGUGUCAAUGGGUCUCAUUCUGGCCAAAUUUGUGUUAAUUUAUAAUUUAUAAUUUAUAUUUGUGGGUGUGUACUGAUUGAAUGGCCAUGGUUUGUUUUUCUUUGGAGUUUGUAUGAACUCUUCCUUUAUUUUGCUCGGUUGAUCUUCUGCGGAGUACAUGUGGUUUACUUUAUUGCUCUUCUUCCUCACAUGGCUGAUCUUAAAGUUCUUGGUGUUAAUGAUAAUGCCUUGUUCUGCAAUACUCCCUCUGUCCUCCAAUGGAUGUGACUUCCAGGUUUUCUCUGGGUGACCAUUAUUGCAAAAAUAACUCAACAAAAUAAAAUUAUAUAUAGAUAUAUAUGUGUGUGUGUGUGAAAUGAUUAUAUUUUAUCCACAUAAGUAUUGGGAAAAAAUACAAUCAUCUUGGGAAGAAAAUAUUGUUCGAGUUGCUUUAGCUAUCAUUUUACUGCACUGCAUUGAUUGCAGGAGGUAGCAGUAAAUAAGAAUGUUCUUCAGUUUGUUUUUUAUUUAUAAUAACACUGCCAUUCCCUAUUUCUGUUGCAUUGCAUUAUUUAGUUAAUAUAUUUAGUGGUGGAGAAUGUGAUAUUGUAUCUUUAAACUUUUAAUGAAUGUGGAAGUCAAUAAACAUUUUGGUUAGAUCUUGAUGUAGAUUCAUGGGUUUUUGUGCAACAUUGCUAAUAUGAUUUUUUUAAGUACUUUUUGUUCCCAGUAACUGGAUUUGUAAUUUCCUAAUAAAAUUUAUUUGAAACAACAAUAAAACGACAGCUGCUUAGUUGGAUCUCUUGUUUGAAACUGAUAACUAUAUCCUGAGUUUUAUAACCUAGCACUCUCCAUGUUGUGCUCCUCGUCCUUUUAAAUCUCCAG
rnacentral:lncRNA from 1 species